GGAGGCGCCACACGCCUGCCGAAGUACCUAGGGCAAAAUUAUCACUAGAAGUUGCUUGGUGAAGCAACUGGUUUAGAACCUACCAAUAGGUGUAUAUGGGUUAGCCGAGCCACACUCGGGCCUAUAUGCGAUCUAUUGGGUUUUAGUGCCCACUAAAGAAUUAGGAGUAAUUUUUCGAAUUGGAGGUAGAGGCUACCAAUUUGUAUAAAAUAGUGGGA
rnacentral:lncRNA from 1 species